UACGUAGGGUGCGAGCGUUAAUCGGAAUUACUGGGCGUAAAGCGUGCGCAGGCGGUUCGUUGUGUCGGCGGUGAAAGCCCCGGGCUUAACCUGGGAAUGGCCGUCGAAACUGGCGAACUGGAGUGUGGCAGAGGGGGGUGGAAUUCCGCGUGUAGCAGUGAAAUGCGUAGAUAUGCGGAGGAACACUGAUGGCGAAGGCAAUCCCCUGGGCCUGCACUGACGCUCAUGCACGAAAGCGUGGGGAGCAAACAGG
rnacentral:rRNA from 1 species